rnacentral:rRNA from 1 species
GAUGAACGCUGGCGGCGUGCCUAAUACAUGCAAGUCGAGCGAAGCGGGGACGGGUGAGUAACACGUGGAUAACCUCCUAUAAGACUGGGAUAACUUCGGGAAACCGGAGCUAAACCGGAUACUUAUCGAUGGAUCCGCGCUGCAUUAGCUGGUUGGUAAGGUAACGGCUUACAAAGGCAACGAUGCAUAGCCGACCUGAGAGGAAGAUCUGACACACUGGAACUGAGACACGUUCCAGACUACUACGGGAGGCAGCAGUAGGGAAUCUUCCGAAAUGGGCGAAAUCCUGACGGAGAAACGCCGCGUGAGUAAGGAAGGUCUUCGGAUCGUAAAACUCUGUUAUUAGGGAAGCGGUACCUAAUCAGAAAGCCACGGCUAACUACGUGCCAGCAGCCGCGGUAAUAC